GUUGCUGUACAAGUAAAUAUGAGAUGUGACUAAAAGGCCUGCAAUGCUCCUUCCCUUUCUCUAUAUAGAAGCCCACUGGAUUGGCAGAUGUAUCUUAAUUUAGUCCAAGAUAACAGCAUCCCUGCAUCCAUGUAGACUUUGUGAGACACUGGCAUUCUUCACAUCCAAACAGCAGAGUUUUGUCUCUUGAGCGUCACAGAAACUUUUUUAGCUAGACAUUUGUAAAGAACUGGUUAAGCUAGCUUGUCUAAAUUUGUUUGUAUUUACUUGCCUCUGUAUGAUUUUUUUGAGAAUGGCUGCUCUCCCACCCCAUGAGCGCUCAGUACUGUUAUAUAUCUUUGCUGCAAAGCAAGUGAAAUAAAAUCAAAGAGACACAAA